rfam:Ixodes scapularis strain Wikel colony gcontig_1108379178634, whole genome shotgun sequence.
CAAACGGCCCUUCUCAGGGCCACCCAUUUUUUUCUAUCGAGGUCUG